AGCAGUACGCGGUAAUACGGAGGGAGCUAGCGUUGUUCGGAAUUACUGGGCGUAAAGCGCGCGUAGGCGGUUAUUCAAGUCAGAGGUGAAAGCCCGGGGCUCAACCCCGGAACUGCCUUUGAAACUAGAUGACUGGAAUCUUGGAGAGGUCAGUGGAAUUCCGAGUGUAGAGGUGAAAUUCGUAGAUAUUCGGAAGAACACCAGUGGCGAAGGCGACUGACUGGACAAGUAUUGACGCUGAGGUGCGAAAGCGUGGGGAGCAAACAGGAUUAGAUACCCCUGUAGUCCCUGUCUCUUAUACAC
rnacentral:rRNA from 1 species